rnacentral:rRNA from 2 species
UACGAAGGGGGCUAGCGUUGUUCGGAAUCACUGGGCGUAAAGCGCACGUAGGCGGACCUAUAAGUCAGGGGUGAAAUCCCGGGGCUCAACCUCGGAACUGCCUCUGAUACUGUGGGUCUCGAGACCGGAAGAGGUGAGUGGAAUUCCUAGUGUAGAGGUGAAAUUCGUAGAUAUUAGGAAGAACACCAGUGGCGAAGGCGGCUCACUGGUCCGGUUCUGACGCUGAGGUGCGAAAGCGUGGGGAGCAAACAGG